rnacentral:rRNA from 1 species
UAGGGAAUCUUCGGCAAUGGGGGCAACCCUGACCGAGCAACGCCGCGUGAGUGAAGAAGGUUUUCGGAUCGUAAAGCUCUGUUGUAAGAGAAGAACGUGUGUGAGAGUGGAAAGUUCACACAGUGACGUUAACUUACCAGAAAGGGACGGCUAACUACGUGCCAGCAGCCGCGGUAAUACGUAGGUCCCGAGCGUUGUCCGGAUUUAUUGGGCGUAAAGCGAGCGCAGGCGGUUUAAUAAGUCUGAAGUUAAAGGCAGUGGCUUAACCAUUGUUCGCUUUGGAAACUGUUAAACUUGAGUGCAGAAGGGGAGAGUGGAAUUCCAUGUGUAGCGGUGAAAUGCGUAGAUAUAUGGAGGAACACCGGUGGCGAAAGCGGCUCUCUGGUCUGUAACUGACGCUGAGGCUCGAAAGCGUGGGGAGCAAACAGG